CUUUUUAGAUGGCGACCGGCGCACGGGGUGAGUAACACGUAUCCAACCUGCCUCAUACUCGGGGGAUAGCCUUUCGAAAGAAAGAUUAAUACCCCGAUGUCAUAGUCCUACCGCAUGAUGGGAUUAUUAAAGAAUUUCGGUAUGGGAUGGGGAUGCGUUCCAUUAGUUAGUUGGCGGGGGUAACGGCCCACCAAGACAACGAUGGAUAGGGGUUCUGAGAGGAAGGUCCCCCACAUUGGAACUGAGACACGGUCCAAACUCCUACGGGAGGCAGCAG
rnacentral:rRNA from 1 species